GCCCUGGUAGCUCAACGGUAGAGCACCCGCCUUGUAAGCGGGGGGUUGAGGGUUCAAAUCCCUCCCAGGGCU
rnacentral:tRNA from 1 species